AUUGAACGCUGGCGGCAGGCUUAACACAUGCAAGUCGAGCGGAGCGAGGGUGCUUGCACCUUAGCUUAGCGGCGGACGGGUGAGUAAUGCUUAUGAGUCUGCCUAUUAGUGGGGGACAACAUUCCGAAAGGAAUGCUAAUACCGCCUACGCCCUACGUGGGAAAGCAGGGGAUCUUCGGACAUUGCGCUAAUAGAUGAACCUAAGUCGGAGUAGCUAGCUGGUGGUGUAAAGGCUUACCAAGGCGACGAUCUGUAGCGGGUCUGAGAGGAUGAUCCGCCAAACUGGGACUGAGACACGGCCCAGACUCCUACGGGAGGCAGCAGUGGGGAAUAUUGGACAAUGGGCGGAAGCCUGAUCCAGCCAUGCCGCGUGUGUGAAGAAGGCCUUUUGGUUGUAAAGCACUUUAAGCGAGGAGGAGGCUACUUAGAUUAAUACUCUUAGAUAGUGGACGUUACUCGCAGAAUAAGCACCGGCUAACUCUGUGCCAGCCGCCGCAGUAA
rnacentral:rRNA from 1 species